UCACAACAUUGGCAUCACAUUAAUAUAUAGGUCUGGUUUUCAAACAGGAAAAAAACAACAGUGAUGAAUCUAAACAUGAUAUUUGAACAUUCCCUUUUUUUUUCCAUUGUCUACAUUUCCACCAUAGUCACCACACAUCUUUGAUAGCUAGUUUCAGAACAUUUGUAACUCCACAGGGCCACAGCCUCCUUCAACUGCCCUCACUUCUCUCC
rnacentral:misc_RNA from 1 species